rnacentral:lncRNA from 10 species
GUCUUUUUAAAAAGAUUGUAUUGGUGAAAUUUCUGUGCCAAGAGGAUGCUCCUGGCUAAGGCUGUACUUGUUAACAAGGUGGAUAUGGAUCUCUCCUCUUGGGGAAAUAACUUAGGGAAGAAAAAACAAUAAGCACCUUGAAAAGGCUGGGAGAAGGGGUUCUGCCAUGACAGAAAUGCAGGCUCCUUCAAAAACACACAGGAAGGGCCUUCAACACAGACUUCAAGUUCGGGGAGGGAGUAUCAAGGAAGGGUUUUUGGAGAAAGCGAUGUCUGAACAGAAACCUAAGGGACAGUAAGGAAUCAGAAAAGUGAACGUCGCUCCAAAAGGAGAAGCACGUGCAAAGGUCCACAGGCAAGAGAGGGCAAGCUGACUAUGCGGGGGCACAGCAGAGCCCUGAGGACAUCAUUUACUUUUCAAAGCAACUUCCAGUCUUUUUUUGGAAGUAGGAAUGGAAUGAAUGAAUCAACAACAAUGUUAAAUCAACCUCGUCUUCAUUCUGUGAUCUCAGGCCAGCCACUUCAUUUAUGCUGCCCUCAGUUUCCUCUUUGCAAAAUAAGAAUAAUGAAGACCCACCUGGCCUAUUUCCUUGGCUUAUGGUGCACAUUCUUGAGACAAUGUCUGUGGAAGUGCUCUGACAAUGGCAAAGAGUAAUGCUGAUGUCUCCCCCUGCACAGGGGGACACAGGCUCAGGAGGACUUGGGUCACCAGUCCCUUGUACCAGCUCUGCAUGCUGCCUAGGGAAGUCACGAAGCUCUUGGUCUCGGUGUCCCUUUCCAUAGAAAGCCUACCUAAUCUGCCACAAAUUUCCAUCUCCCCUUGGACAGUCACAAAGUGUUCUUGGUCUCAGUUUCUCCUUCUAGAACUCUUGCCUACUUCUGCCAUGGACAUACAUGCAGUCCUGGGGCAGCUGCAGUACUUUCUUGGUCUGUGGUCUGUUUCCCCUUCCGCCAAUGCCUGUAACGCCUACCUACCUGCAGUGAAGUAACAGACACAGAAACCCACUGUAAACCCCAACUCUGUGUAAAUUUGGGGAACUAUUAUUACAUUUAUGCCAGCGUUGCCCCCAGUCCUAGGAACACCCUCAAGGGGACCCCUUGAGCCCUGGACAUGCCUCUCUGCAGUGGGUGGGGAAGAACCCUGCUUGAGGCUUCUUGCCCUUGCUGGAACACACUAAAUGGCACCAAUAUUCCAUUUUGUUUUUUAAAACUUUUAUUACAAUUAUCUCAUCAAAUUCAAGCUGCCAAGACAUGGGAGGCCACAGGGCAACACGCCUGCAUUGAAAGGCGAGGUCAGGCAAGGCAACUGGCCUGAAAACUGCCAUCAGGGUCUAGAAAGUGGUGCCACUUGGGAAGAAGGGGCUAUUCUUCCAGUGCUACUCUGCACUCCACAGAGACCUGAGUCUACCAAGGAACUCCAAUGGGAGGCAGAGGUGGGGGCAUCCUCCAGCUGGCCAGGAGCCUGCCAGACACCUUGCCCAGAGGGUGAGCAGUAAUGAAAACACAGCAAGGAGGCUAUUGAUUUUGGGCAAAGAUGGCUUGGUAUACAUUUCCAGGCCUGGCACGAGGAACCCCUCUUAGGCCCAGGCCAUGAAAAAUGAAUUUGGUGAGGGCAGUGCUGAGGCAGCUCAACUGCUUCCAGCAAAAACAUGAAUUAAACUGCAGGGGGAGAGCUGCCUUCCAGAGUGAGGAGGGCCGAAUAUUGACCGCCUGUACCAAGGACCAAAGCCAGGCGAGGAGGCGACUGCUUUGAGUCCAGAGGCAUCACUGAAAGGAGGCCCCCUCGCCCUGGAACAAAUCCCACUCUCUGAACCCCUUCCACAGUCCCUGUCUUGGUUAGGCUUCAUCAAAGCCCUGGGGUACAGGCUGAGGGGGAGGCUCCAUCUCAUAGACAAGGAUGCAGAGGUCCUGGUGCUGAGGGGCCACCCCAGUCCAUCAGUGGGCAGCUACAAGCCUCAGGAUCUGUGGUCAUUUGAGCAAUCACCCUCAGGCUCCACCUUAGCCCCUGAAGCCUCACCAGUCACUUCCUUUUCCUGGCUCUGGUGGCUCCACGUUCUGCUUCAGCUGGGAGUGUGACCAGGUGAUCCCAUUCCUGGCCACCCUGGCCAGAUCCCACACACGGAUGCCAUCAGGCUCUGCUCGCCUCUCCUGUGACUGCUGCACUCUCACAACACUCCGGAUCAACAGCAGGUCUCCUUUCUGCUCCUUCAGACUGCCUAGUACUGCAUUUGGAAGACACCCUUCUCCAAGUGUUUAAGGUUCUUCUUUGAGGACCACCCUUAGAUGAUGAAGAGCUGGAAGCUACCUGAUAACUGCUCCAUCUUCCAUUUUCCAGAUGAGGAAACUGAGACCCAGUGACUUUCCCAAGGCUACAUAUGACUAAGGAAUAAGCCAAAGGGGGCCCCCAGGCCCCUGCUCCAGGCCUCCUCUGCCCAGGCCAGGCGGUGGAUGCACCGCAUCAGCAGUUGGCCUACUGAGUGACUCCAGUGAAAAACCAGAGCUGGGGACAGGCAGCAAAGGACAGACAGCCUGGGGCUCCCGAUGCCCCGGCCAGCACUCCUUCUCCCAUGCGCCUGGACAGAGCAACCCACGUAGAAAGGGAGCCAUCCUAAUCCAUGCUUUUGGGACAGGCCCUGAGGCCUCUCCCCAGGCUGAGGGGUGAAAGCACUUCAGGUGGAUUGCCCCUCCGGUGACCUCACCUGCCUCCUUUUGUUCCUAGGGUAGGCCCCAUUGCCUACCCAAGGGACAUCUGGUGCUGCCAGGGCCUGAUCAUUUCCCAGGGCUGUGCCCAGGCCUUCAGGGUCUUUGGGAAAGUUCUGCGGAAGGCAGUCUGACAGCAGGAGCUUUAGUCCUGGUCCCAUUUCCAGCAAGUUCUCCCACUCUCCGGCUUACCACCAAACCCUCCAGUGCCUUCUGUGGGGCCAAAAAGAAUGGAUCCCACAUCCAGAAGGUCAAAGGGAAGGCAAGGUGAGGCUCAGGGACCAGCCAGCACACCAGGAGAGAAAGGUCUGUGUUCUUCCUCUGCUUCGUAGUGGGGGUCUCAGAGGUCGCGGGUCUGCUGGCCUUAGUUCAGGCCACACCUGCCUUCUGUAAUGCUUCCCUCUCAUUUCUACAUGUCUACAAGGAACCCAUCUCAAGGCUGCCCUUAGAGCAUCAUUACAAUGGCAAUCCUAAUGUCAACAACAGAAGCUAACAACUACUGAGAACAUCAAGCACAGCCCAGCUGCCCUAGGCUCUCUGCGCGAUGCUCUGAGGCAGGCACUGUUCUUCUGACCCACAUUUUACAAAUGAGGAAAGUGAGGUACAGAAGGAUUCAGAAAGUUGCCUGAGGUCAGGGAGCUACUGAAGGGUGAAUCUAGAUUCAAAGUCAGGCCAACUGGCUCCAGAGACCGUGUUCUUUACCCCUGGAGUGUGUAGCCCCUCCCCACAGAGUCUGUGAUACCACAGCUCUGCCAUGACUUCCCGGAGCCCUGUGAUCUGCUGCUGUCUGGCCCUGGCCACGUCCCGCCCAGCUCAUGGCCAGGAGUGGAUGUACAGCUCUCCUCUGGCAGGCGGGGGGGCUCCAGAGCCCCCACCCAGAGCAGCCCUGCCACCCCAGGGAUACUAAUCAAGGUGUGUAUCACACUGCUAAGCCCUCCAACCCACCCAAGAAGCCGCUUUCUGGUUACCUCACCAGCUGGUCCCAGGACCCACUCCACUGACAAAGAGCUCCUGUAUUCCAGUGGCGGCUGCUUCCACUCAGACAGAGAGAAAGCUCUGGUGACCUCCAUCUAACAGCUGCUUCCUGUGUCCUGACCCCACCCGUCCAGCUCUGCUGUCAGUAGUCCUGGCUGUGGCUGCUACCUGUGCCCUGCCUCCAGGACCAGCUCUUGAGGAUGCAAUGGCAGGAGCCAGAUCCCUCACCCCAAGUCCAUUCUCCUCAGCCCCCAACCAGGGGCCAGCAUUACUCCUUCCCAGCUUCCUCGCCAUCCCAGGGUGGGACGACAGGAGAACAACUCCAGUUCACAGCAUUGUUCCCACAGUGAAAUCAGAAGGCUUAGUGACGCACAUCCCACAGGAGUAAGGCAUGCUUCAUACCUGAUGAAUGCUUUGUUGAAGAAAAGUCACCAGGUCCUCAUAGCAGGUCAAACUGUGAAGCGUAAGCUGAGAAGACACAAACACUCAGGAUGAGUGGCCCAAGCCCCACGCAGUGCCCCAUCCUGAAUUAGCUUCUGCUCCCUGGCUUUAGUAGCUACAAAAUCCAACUUGGGAAUGUCCCUGCGUCAGAGAGCAGCAUCUCCAAGUCAGGGCUGAGAGGCACGGCCAUACCUGUAUGUGAGUGAAAGGCUGGCCGGUACCGCUGGAGUCGUCAGGGUUCAGGUGGCCCUACGGCAGCUCUGGGCCUGAGACCCCAGAAUUCCAGCAUCCUGUGUGGCCCCAACAGGGGAGGGCUGCACCCCAUGGGCGAGUCACUGAUAUCAGAGAGGCGGCUGGCAGGGAGGUGGAUAAGGCAGGGGCCAUAUCCAAAUCACAAUAGCCAGGCCAGGUGGAAGCCAACAGGCUGUGUCCUGAGUUCAGCAGGAAGCAGCCCUUAGGAGUCUCCUUUGCUUUUUCAGGCAGGCCAGGAAAAAACACUUCAAGAGAAAACAUUCAACAAUGCGAGACCCUCAGUUAGGGUCACAGGGCAACACGUGCCCAAACCGAGGUCAAAUGAAACUAAUUUGUUAAAACAAAAAUUCUCAGUGAAGAGGUUGGCAAGAGGUAGCUGAAAAACUUCACUGCUCUUAUAUUUUAC